UAUCAAUCCUAAGGCAAGUUCUAGGUAGCUAAUCUAGAAACAUGCAUUAAUGAACAAUCCUAAUGACAAUUACCACAAUUCAGCAAUCUAUAGUUGGGGCUAAUCCCUCAUAACUUAUUUAAACCCUAAAUCUAACACUGGAACUACUCAGACAUGGCUAAGCAAUUCAUGAAACCAAUUAGGUUCAAAAACUUCAUGGAAUAGUCAAAUAGAUAUUAAUGGAGUUCCAAUCACAAAUUAUAACUU
rnacentral:lncRNA from 1 species